rnacentral:rRNA from 1 species
GACGAACGCUGGCGGCGUGCCUAAUACAUGCAAGUCGAGCGGAACUGGGGGAGCUUGCUCCUUCCAGUUUAGCGGCGGACGGGUGAGUAACACGUGGGCAACCUGCCCUGCAGAUCGGGAUAACUCCGGGAAACCGGUGCUAAUACCGAAUAGUUUGGCGCCUCUCCUGAGGCGCUACGGAAAGACGGUUUCGGCUGUCACUGCAGGAUGGGCCCGCGGCGCAAUAGCUAGUUGGUGGGGUAACGGCCCACCAAGGCGAGGAUGCGUAGCCGACCGGAGAGGGUGACCGGCCACACUGGGACUGAGACACGGCCCAGACUCCUACGGGAGGCAGCAGUAGGGAAGCUUCCGCAAUGGACGCAAGUCUGACGGAGCAACGCCGCGUGAGUGACGAAGGUUUUCGGAUCGUAAAACUCUGUUGUGAGGGAAGAACACGUACCAACUAACUAUUGGUACCUUGACGGUACCUCACCAGAAAGCCACGGCUAACUACGUGCCAGCAGCCGCAGUAA